ACCUAUUGGUUCACCAAGGAAAAGACAGAAAAUUGAGCUCAAUUAGUAAUGAAAAUACAACCUCACAAAAAAUUUUAUACUCAGAGCAGUCCUGCCACAGAAAAUAAAAAGCUACUGCAUUAUUCUAAUCUAAAGUAGAAUCUGUACAACUGUCUUUAAUACCGGAGUGGUAAAGUGAUUACAAGAGGAAAAGCAGUCAGUAUUACCCACCAUGAAGAGAUAUUUUAUAUAUAUCAUCUAUCACCCUUCUUAUAGAACUCACUUACAAAGAAACUUAUCUUUUUGAAACUUCUGUUCACAUACACUAUCCCUGGCGAAGAACAACUGAAGCAAAAUAAGGGUCAAGGAAAGGGUGGCAACUAAAGAUUCCCGGGAGAACCGACUAUUUCAACCUCCCGCCUCCUGUAACUGUGGGGGCCUAUUUUCUAUUGGAGUAUAUUAGAAGCAAUGCUCCAGGGGCUUCUUACCAGCUUGAUCUCAAAAAGGAUAAAAAACCUGAAGCAUUAUCUACCUGUUUGUCUUUCUGUUGGCUUCGAUCUCCUGAUGGCCAGAGUCUCCAGGAAUCAUUGUCAAUAACAUCAGCAAGAACAAUUUCUUUGGUGGUUACAUCAACACCAAAUUCAAUCUGGAAACAGCAUGUCAACAAAGUUUUCAAAAACUAUUUUAUGAAAGCAUCUCUCAACUAUAACCUUUACUUUCAAAUCCUGUUGUUUUAUCUGUACCUUCAUAUCAACCAGUGUACAAUUCUGGGGCAACCAGGAUUUCUCCAGUAUUUCAAAUACAGCCUGUGUAGCAUGACUCAUGAUAUCCACUUCAGUCUGGCCUAUAACAAGUCCAGCAAAGCAAAAUUUUGCAGCAAUCAGCUGUUCCUCAGACCACUGUGGGUCAUUAUUGGCAUCAUCCUGUGAAUAAAGUAUAGUAGUACAAUUAA